AGGCCACAUUUCAUUUAUAUGCUCUCCUGAGCAUUUAAAAAAAAAAUCAUCAAAAUCGGUGACUAAUCUCGUAAAGUCGACGACAAACACGAUUUUUCACACUCACCGACUGGACUACUGUCAGAGUUCCUUCUUCCCUACUCCAUUCUCAGUUUUGCCAUUGGUGAUGCUGGGAUGAGGAUGGUUCGACCCACUGGGGAGUCCCUGGAGGAUCUUUGUCCUUGUGAGGAUGAGAGUGAGGAUCAACUCGUCAUCAGGAUGUACCUGACGCAGCCAAAGUCUCUCCAAGAGUGACACAGACUUUUAACCCGUUAAACUCGUCUCGAAUGCUUGUCUUAUGGACACCCUCACCCACGGCUCCCUGGACUACACAGAGGACCCCCAGCACAUUCGUCACGAGCAGAAUGGAAUAGCUGAAGAGAAUGGAGAGGAAUCAGUAUCACUCAGCAAGUCUCAACCUCAUGACCCCUGACGCCUUCAGUUCCCCAGCGAAGAAAGAGUACAUCUCGAGCUCAAUGUCACCUGAACUGGGGAAUGUCCUGUCAGCAUUUCCAUCUCUAUCCCAAGCAGUUCAGACAUUGAACCUGCAGGAGGCACCUCUGGCCACCAGUGAAAUUGAACAGGCACCUCCCAGUGGAGGCAGCAGUCCCUUACGACAGGGUAUCUGAGAGGACCGCAAUGCUCAGAGGGCCUAUUGGAAAUUUUAUUGGAAACAUCAUCGUGUCCUGUCCCCUGGGUCUCCGAAAGAAGCUGAUUAUUUAAUAUAACAUGAUCAUAAUCCAUAAUGAAAGGAACAAAACCCAUUUUUUUAAAUUUGAGACACGAUGGGAUUGUCUCCACCCCCUGGAUCUUCAGAACAUCUUCAGAAUACUGCAAAAUUUAAGUGAUUUAUCAGUAAAAUAUAAGGAAAUUUCAUAUAUUUGUAGUGUUUACACGUGGAAAAAUGGGAUGUGAUGGCAUUUGGUGGGAAAUAUCUUUUUAUUCUCAAGUAAACGUCGUUUAUACCCGAGGAAAUGGGUGGGAGGA